rnacentral:rRNA from 1 species
GAUGAACGCUGGCGGCGUGCCUGACACAUGCAAGUCGAGCGAAGAACUUCGGUUCUUAGCGGCGGACGGGUGAGUAACACGUGGGUAGCCUGCCUCAAAGAGGGGGAUAGCCUCCCGAAAGGGAGAUUAAUACCGCAUAAUAUUAGAUCUUCGCAUGAAGAUUUAAUUAAAGGAGCAAUCCGCUUUGAGAUGGACCCGCGGCGCAUUAGCUAGUUGGUGAGGUAACGGCUCACCAAGGCGACGAUGCGUAGCCGUCCUGAGAGGGUGAUCGGCCACAUUGGAACUGAGACACGGUCCAGACUCCUACGGGAGGCAGCAGUGGGGAAUAUUGCACAAUGGGCGAAAGCUUGAUGCAGCAACGCCGCGUGAGUGAUGAAGGCCUUCGGGUUGUAAAACUCUGUCUUUGGGGACGAUAAUGACGGUACCCAAGGAGGAAGCCACGGCUAACUACGUGCCAGCCGCCGCCGUAA